rnacentral:misc_RNA from 1 species
UGAAAAAUAUUCGAAAUUAUAGAAAAUGAAACUGUUACUUUUAACCAGUGAAAUAAUGAGACGUUAUUUGCUGUUGCUAUUACUCGUCGAGUUAAUAUCCUCGAUGGCGAUACCAAGGCCCUCAGCUUACAACGCAGAAGAAAUUAUUGCACAUUCAACGAGGUACAUUGAUUCCAUAAACCCAAGUCCAUUGGAUUCCCGAGUGAAAGAAGUAGAGAUGCAUACAUUGCUCACUGUGAAAUUCUCAGCGAUGAAUAAUUAUUCGACUAAAGCCGACGAUGCUCGAUCGUUAAUGCGCUUGAAAACGCUGGAAAAUAUUGAGAAAUUGCCAAAUAUGACAACAAUUGCUAAUCUUCUUUAUGAGAGUGUAUUGAGGAAGUUGGAAAAUCUCGAUAAAAAUAAGAAUAACAAUGGGAUCAAUGUACCGGAUUUGAAUAGUAUUGUACAAGUGAUAAAGUGCAUGAUUUAUGAUGAAAAUUCACCGACGUUAAAUAAACUUUUUAAGUUAUUGGAAAGUGACGUAAAAAAUUUGCGAUUACAAAUGGAAUCAUUAAAAUCAAAAACUACUUUUCACAACCUUGAUCUACACGCGAAAAUGAGUACACAAGAGAACAACUUAAAUCGACAAAAAAGAUCGAAAAAUGAUGUUCUUGCGAAUGUACUUCAGAGUAAACUGUCAAUGUCAACUCCAGGAAAAAAUGCAGACAACAAAAAUAACAGGAGUUUCGAAACAAGUAAUUCCAUAGGAAAUAAAUCGAAGAAAAAUAAAAUUUCUUCCAAUCUCACAGAAGUUUUAAUCAAUGCAGGAUUUGAUCAAUCCACUAUAAAAUCUUAUUUGGCUAAACAGGUGAAGUUGAAUUCUAAAAAGAAAAAUAAGUCAAUACAACGAAAGAAAAGCUCUGACAAUCAUAUGGAUGAUGACGAAGAUGAUUAUGAAGACGAUAAUAGUGGUGCUAUUCAAAAACAAACUUUCGACGAUGUUUUUCCAAACAUAGAUUACGUUGAUAACGAUGAAGGGUCUUUGGGAUCAAUAGAAGAUCUGUUACCUUUAUUUCUUCCACUUCUCGAAGAAAUAUUUGAAAAUCCUGAUACUCUUGUGGAUUUAGCCGAUAUAUUGCUGGAUAGUGCCGGUCUUUUUGCAGACAUCGGACAAGAUCUACUUGUCGCUUUCACACCAGAUUCACUCAAAGUUACAAUACCGAUUAUACUUAAUUUAUUAGUAGGUAAGGAUGGCAUGGGUAGCGACGUAGGAGCUGUUUUGGGUCCUUUGAUUCAACUUAUAGGCCCCUUGAUUGGUCCACUGUAUGGGCCACUGUUUGGCUCGUUGUCUUCUACUUAUAGUGGAGUGAAACUUUUCAAUAUAAUAAUAUGACCUUCAGGAAAGAUACGGCGGAGAUUUGGUAUCAACAUUAACGACGUCUCUCAUCAAAAUCAUUACUAAAGAAUUAUUUGGGCCAAAAUCGAACUUGG